UACGAAGGGGGGCUAGCGUUGCUCGGAAUCACUGGGCGUAAAGCGCACGUAGGCGGCUUGUUAAGUCAGGGGUGAAAUCCUGGAGCUCAACUCCAGAACUGCCUUUGAUACUGGCGAGCUUGAGUCCGGGAGAGGUGAGUGGAACUGCGAGUGUAGAGGUGAAAUUCGUAGAUAUUCGCAAGAACACCAGUGGCGAAGGCGGCUCACUGGCCCGGUACUGACGCUGAGGUGCGAAAGCGUGGGGAGCAAACAGG
rnacentral:rRNA from 1 species